rnacentral:sRNA from 1 species
CCGAUCGCCUCCUAACGGGAUCGGCCGGUCGAGCCGGCGUCGGUUGGACCCUGGCGAGACCUGACUUGUACCCAUGUUGCUCAAUGGAGGAUGUGGUUAUGAGAA